UGGGGAAUUUUGGACAAUGGGCGAAAGCCUGAUCCAGCCAUGCCGCGUGAGUGAAGAAGGCCUUCGGGUUGUAAAGCUCUUUUAGUCGGAAAGAAAGAGUUGCAAUGAAUAAUUGUGAUUUAUGACGGUACCGACAGAAAAAGCACCGGCUAACUACGUGCCAGCAGCUGCGGUAAUACGUAGGGUGCGAGCGUUAAUCGGAAUUACUGGGCGUAAAGGGUGCGCAGGCGGUCUUGCAAGUCAGAUGUGAAAGCCCCGGGCUUAACCUGGGAAUUGCGUUUGAAACUACAAGACUAGAGUGCAGCAGAGGGGAGUGGAAUUCCAUGUGUAGCAGUGAAAUGCGUAGAGAUGUGGAAGAACACCGAUGGCGAAGGCAGCUCCCUGGGUUGACACUGACGCUCAUGCACGAAAGCGUGGGGAGCAAACA
rnacentral:rRNA from 1 species